AGAGUUUGAUCCUGGCUCAGGAUGAACGCUGGCGGCGUGCUUAACACAUGCAAGUCGAACGAAGCACUUUAUUUGAUUUCCUUCGGGACUGAUUAUUUUGUGACUGAGUGGCGGACGGGUGAGUAACGCGUGGGUAACCUGCCUUGUACAGGGGGAUAACAGUUGGAAACGGCUGCUAAUACCGCAUAAGCGCACAGCAUCGCAUGAUGCAGUGUGAAAAACUCCGGUGGUAUAAGAUGGACCCGCGUUGGAUUAGCUAGUUGGUGAGGUAACGGCCCACCAAGGCGACGAUCCAUAGCCGACCUGAGAGGGUGACCGGCCACAUUGGGACUGAGACACGGCCCAAACUCCUACGGGAGGCAGCAGUGGGGAAUAUUGCACAAUGGGCGAAAGCCUGAUGCAGCGACGCCGCGUGAGCGAAGAAGUAUUUCGGUAUGUAAAGCUCUAUCAGCAGGGAAGAUAAUGACGGUACCUGACUAAGAAGCACCGGCUAAAUACGUGCCAGCAGCCGCGGUAAU
rnacentral:rRNA from 1 species